rnacentral:lncRNA from 1 species
UGAAAACCUUUGGUGGGUGUUGUUUUUAUUCAUUUUUUGGGCUUUGUUGUUGUUCAUGUUUUUUGUAGGCCAAUCGAAGAACAAACAGUGAGGUUAAAGAUUCACCAUGGAUGAAUGUUUAUUUAUAAUCCAUUUACUGUGUAUGUCAAUGGUCAGAUCGUUGAAGAAAAAUGGGGUUGGGAUGUGGAUACUAUGUCGUAUAUUGACUUCACGAAGGUGAUUAGCUCUCUCGGG